rnacentral:rRNA from 1 species
UGUAUAAUGGGUCAGCGACUUAUAUUCUGUAGCAAGGUUAACCGAAUAGGGGAGCCGAAGGGAAACCGAGUCUUAACUGGGCGUUAAGUUGCAGGGUAUAGACCCGAAACCCGGUGAUCUAGCCAUGGGCAGGUUGAAGGUUGGGUAACACUAACUGGAGGACCGAACCGACUAAUGUUGAAAAAUUAGCGGAUGACUUGUGGCUGGGGGUGAAAGGCCAAUCAAACCGGGAGAUAGCUGGUUCUCCCCGAAAGCUAUUUAGGUAGCGCCUCGUGAAUUCAUCUCCGGGGGUAGAGCACUGUUUCGGCAAGGGGGUCAUCCCGACUUACCAACCCGAUGCAAACUGCGAAUACCGGAGAAUGUUAUCACGGGAGACACACGGCGGGUGCUAACGUCCGUCGUGAAGAGGGAAACAACCCAGACCGCCAGCUAAGGUCCCAAAGUCAUGGUUAAGUGGGAAACGAUGUGGGAAGGCCCAGACAGCCAGGAUGUUGGCUUAGAAGCAGCCAUCAUUUAAAGAAAGCGUAAUAGCUCACUGGUCGAGUCGGCCUGCGCGGAAGAUGUAACGGGGCUAAACCAUGCACCGAAGCUGCGGCAGCGACGCUUAUGCGUUGUUGGGUAGGGGAGCGUUCUGUAAGCCUGUGAAGGUGUACUGUGAGGUAUGCUGGAGGUAUCAGAAGUGCGAAUGCUGACAUAAGUAACGAUAAAGCGGGUGAAAAGCCCGCUCGCCGGAAGACCAAGGGUUCCUGUCCAACGUUAAUCGGGGCAGGGUGAGUCGACCCCUAAGGCGAGGCCGAAAGGCGUAGUCGAUGGGAAACAGGUUAAUAUUCCUGUACUUGGUGUUACUGCGAAGGGGGGACGGAGAAGGCUAUGUUGGCCGGGCGACGGUUGUCCCGGUUUAAGCGUGUAGGCUGGUUUUCCAGGCAAAUCCGGAAAAUCAAGGCUGAGGCGUGAUGACGAGGCACUACGGUGCUGAAGCAACAAAUGCCCUGCUUCCAGGAAAAGCCUCUAAGCAUCAGGUAACAUCAAAUCGUACCCCAAACCGACACAGGUGGUCAGGUAGAGAAUACCAAGGCGCUUGAGAGAACUCGGGUGAAGGAACUAGGCAAAAUGGUGCCGUAACUUCGGGAGAAGG